rnacentral:rRNA from 1 species
UACGGGGGGGUAAGCGUUGUUCGGAAUUACUGGGCGUAAAGGGCUCGUAGGCGGCCAACUAAGUCAGACGUGAAAUCCCUCAGCUUAACUGGGGAACUGCGUCUGAGACUGGUCGGCUUGAGUGCAGGAGAGGAACGCGGAAUUCCAGGUGUAGCGGUGAAAUGCGUAGAUAUCUGGAGGAACACCGGUGGCGAAGGCGGCGUUCUGGACUGCUACUGACACUGAGGAACGAAAGCCAGGGGAGCAAACGGG